rnacentral:rRNA from 1 species
GAUGAACGCUGGCGGCGUGCCUAAUACAUGCCAGUCGAGCGAACAGACGAGGAGCUUGCUCCUUCGACGUUAGCAGCGGACGGGUGAGUAACACGUAGGUAACCUACCUAUAAGACUGGGAUAACUUCGGGAAACCGGAGCUAAUACCGGAUAAUAUUUCGAACCGCAUGGUUCGAUAGUGAAAGAUGGCUUUGCUAUCACUUAUAGAUGGACCUGCGCCGUAUUAGCUAGUUGGUAAGGUAACGGCUUACCAAGGCAACGAUACGUAGCCGACCUGAGAGGGUGAUCGGCCACACUGGAACUGAGACACGGUCCAGACUCCUACGGGAGGCAGCAGUAGGGAAUCUUCCGCAAUGGGCGAAAGCCUGACGGAGCAACGCCGCGUGAGUGAUGAAGGUCUUCGGAUCGUAAAACUCUGUUAUUAGGGAAGAACAAACGUGUAAGUAACUGUGCACGUCUUGACGGUACCUAAUCAGAAAGCCACGGCUAACUACGUG